GAGGGUAUAGCUCAGUGGUAGAGUGCAUGCUUAGCAUGCACAAGGUCCUGGGUUCAAUCCUCAGUAGUUCCA
rnacentral:tRNA from 1 species